rnacentral:lncRNA from 1 species
AUAGGUAAUAUGAUCUUCAAAUAAUUAUAAAUUGGUAAAUUAUAUCUGCAUUAUCUUUAUUUCGUCAUACGUAUAUCUAAUCACUUCAAAAUUUAAACAUAUUUUUUACACCACAUUUGUUUUUAAGUUUGUAUCAAUAAACCACUUUAACACUAUAAAAUGAUCAUUUUACCUCUAAAUAAAUUAAAAGACCAUUUUAUUUAAUAAAUUUUUAAAAAAUAAAAAAUUAUAAUUACAAGAAUACCCAGAAUUUAAUAAAAUAAAUAAUUAUCAAAUCCAAUAUAUUAAUUUUUUAUAAUUAUAAUUUCAUUUAAAAAUUAUCAAGUUAAUUUUUUGUAAUUAUAAUUUCAUUUAAUUUGUAUAGGGAAGUUUCUCAAUAUUAAUUAUAGAGAAAUUUACAAUAAUUAUAAGGAUCUUUUCUCCUCAUAUUAUUUUUUGUAAACCUCUCUAUACUUAAUUUAAUUACAAAAAUUAAAUGAAAUUAUAAUUAUAGGAUGUUAAUUUUUUAAAAUUAUAAUUUUAUUUAAAAAUUAUCAUCUUAUAUUUUGAGAUUUAUUCGUUUUAUUGAAUUUAGGGGUAUUCUUGCAAUUAUAAAUUUUUUAUUUUUUAAAAUCUUAUAAAAUAAAAUAAUUUUUUUAAGUCAUUUAGGGGUAAAAUUGUUAUUUUUAUUGUCAAAAUGGUUGAUUGAUAUAAAUUUAAAAAUAAAAAUGGUGCAAAGAAUAUGUCAAAAUUUGAAAUAGUUAUUAGAUGUACAUAUGACAAAACAAAGGUAAUUCAGAGAUAAUUUACCUUAUAAAUUUCUCCUAAUUUUUCUAAUAGGCCUAAUAUGUUUUUUGAAAUUAGCCGAAAUAAUUUCAUGCAUCAUUUGUAAAAACACAUUUCUCAUAAGUCAUGACGUCACUUUGAAUACAGGGGUUUUGUCAGGUGUUGUUGGGAUUGGGGUAAUCUCUGUUCUCUUUUAUAUGCACGGGAAACCCAUUUUCUUUUUGAAGAAACAAAUGCAGAAUGAUCAAGAUGUCGACGCAGUAAUAAGAAAGUACGGCUCUCUAGCUCCGAAAGGUUACAACUACUCUGAUGUAAAGAAAAUGACCAACUCGUUCAGUGAUAAAGUAAGACAAGGAGGAUACGGAGUUGUGUACAGAGGAAAGCUACACGAAGGUCGCGUUGCUGCAGUAAAAGUCCUUAGCGAAUCCAAGGGGAAUAGAGAAGAGUUCAUCAAUGAAGUUGCUUGCAUCAGUGGUACUUCCCAUGUCAACAUAGUCACUCCCCUUGGUUUUUGCUGUGAAGGACUAGUCUAUGAGUUUAUGCCCAAUGGAUCUCUUCAUAAAUUCAUAUACGAUAAAGGAUCUAUGAGCACCAAAAAUAACCGCCUGGAAUGGACAACACUAAGCGAGACUGUGGUUGGUGUUGCUCGAGGGUUUGAGUGCUUGAUCGCGGUUGCAACACUGGGAUUGUGCAUUUCGACAUAAAGCCUUGCAACAUUCUCUUACAUGAAGACUUCUGUCCGAAAAUUUCUGAUUUUGGUCUGGCUAAACUGUAAAAAGAAAGAAAGUAUAAUCUCAAUGCUGGAUGCAAGAGGGACUGUUAGAUAUAUUGCUCCAGAAGUAUUUUGCAGAAAUUUUGGAGGAAUUUCUCACAAAUCCGAUGUCUAUGGCUUUGGAAUGACGGUUCUUGAAUUGGUUGGAGUAAGAAAUAAUACUGCUAGUGGAGUAACACACACCAGCAGUACUGAAAUGUACUUUCCAGAUUGGUUUUAUAAGCUACUUGAACCGGGAGAGGAUCUAAAACAUCAUGGUCUCGUAACCGAAGAAGAAGAAGUGAUCGUGAGAAAGAUGAUUAUAGUGAGCUUGUGUUGCAUACAGACCAAUCCAUCAGAUAGACCAUCAAUGAAUAAGGCUGUAGAGAUGCUGGAAGGUGGCCUUGAAGCUUUGCAAGUUCCUCCGAAGCCCUUCUUGAAAUCAUCAUUCACAAGAUCAAUUCGACAUUCUUCCAUGACAACAACUCCUCCGUCAUAGAAUUCCAUCACAAACUCUCUUAUUGUCUUUGAAACUUAGAAGUUUGAUGUUCUAUCAUUGGGUUCAAUUUGUAAGAUUUAAUUCCAUGGGUAAGAAGUAAUUUGUUUUAGAUAAUCUUGGGUUCGAGUUUCCAUGAAUACGUGAAUUAAUAAUUAAAAAUAAAAUAAAAAUGUAAGAUCGUUUUUUAAUAAUUAAAAACAAAAAACAAAUAAGAUCUUUUAGACUGGCACAAAGAAUUUUGUAUUAGAUCCAAUUAUCAUUGGGUUAAAGGAGUUUUGGUUUAUAAUAAAUGUCCAUGUUCUAUUUAAAAAUUUACAAAUUAAAAAAAGAGUCCUCUGAAGUUUCAUUGAGCAAGAAAUUAUUUGUUCAUAAUUUUAGUCAAUUUGAAAUAAUUUUUUUUAAUUAAAAGAUUGCAACGCCACCUAUUAGGAAGCAAAGUAUUCCAUCUUAUGCCUCUUGAGUUGCUUUCCUUUCUAUUACUUUCUUUGCGUGCUUGCAAUUGGCCAAUUGAGAUUUUUUUUUUUUUUUUUAACUGUGUAUUUGGUCUUCCAAGGAAAAUGCUUAGUGGCUAGAAUCGCGAGAGAAGGGUGAGGGAAACGGCUGCUUGUUUCUCCCUCCACUAUCACACGCAUUUAUAGACAAAAAAAUUAAUAAAAAAUUUCAGCACUAAGAAAACAUAAAUAAAGUAAAAAGUUUUGGCAACCUGUGGGAAUAAUAAUAUUUGUGGCGCCAUUAUACUUAGAAACGAAAAGCUUCCCUUUUUUUUUAAGCUUUUUGACUCAUUUUGAUUACCCAAAUCUCUCCCUUCUCUUCAGGGUAAUUCCCUGCAUUUCUUCUUCCUCUGUUUACACUCUCCUUAUUAUUUUUGGUAGAUUUGUCAUUGUUUUAUAUUAAUGCGUGCAAAAUUUCUAUUUUUGUGGAUUUUGUGUUUCUUUUACAAUCUUGCUUAUUUGCUCUUCCGAAUGGAUGAACAAAAUAUUAUUUGGGGGAAAUAACCAAUUUUUUCCCUGGGGGGGGGGGGGGGGGGGGAGCUAACUCGAUGUUUUGAGAAUAAAGAACCUCUGUUUCUAUUAUUUACAUUAAACAGAAAAAGGCUUAAGCUUUUAUGAAUAAAAAUUCUUACUUUUACAAUGUACUUACUCUUUGUGACGGUAUUCUUCUGCUUUGAUUUUACUUUGGAAGAAAGCCUGAGAUCAGUGAUGUCAAUUAGCACAAGUAGAAAAUGAUAAUCUAAUGUUUUAUGUGUCUUUCUUUCAUAGUACAUGGAAACUAUGUAUGAGUUCAUGAGUGAGAGAGAAAUCAUGAAAUAAUAACUUGGGCGAUGACCGUGUUGUUGUCGGCGGUCGUGUCGUCGUCGGCAGUGGUACUGUUGAGAGAAGGAAGAAAAUGGCGAGGACGGAGGGGAGUGGGGUGAGAGUGGAUUAGCUGAUAUAGUUUUCAAUUUCUCAGCAUUUUUCUAUUAUCUUUUAUUAAAUUUUUUAAUUGUUUUUUUCUUUCUUUAGAAGGGCGCAUGAUAGUGCCGCCGUUUCUCUCGCCCUUCUCUCACCUUUCUAGCCGCCUGUCACGACUCUUUCUCCAAUUGAGAUUCAAGAGAAUGGCUUUAAGACUUUUUUUAAAAAUAGUUAUUUAAUACAAGAUAAAAAUUUUUAAUUAAAAGAUUCCAACGCCACCUAUUAGUAAACAAAAAAUUCCAUCUUGCGCGUCAAGAGUUGCUUUCCUCUCUAUUACUUUAUUUGCGUUCUUGCAAUUGGCCAAUUGACAUUUUUUUCCUUUUUCUUUUUUCUCUUUUUUUUUUUUUUGGUGCAUCCGCCAAUUGAGAUUCAAGAGAUGGGCUUUAAUUAAAAUUUUAAGAAAAAAAUCAGUUAUUUAAUACAAGAUAAAUUUAACGUGAAUGGAAAUACAUAAGCGUGCUAAAACUAAAGUCGCUAGGGUAUUUGGGUCAUGAUGCAAAAUGAUUGCUGGUCAAAUUUAUAGCCGUCGAAAAUUUGAAAAUUUGACAAGUUCAACUCUGACGCUACUAAUACAAACUACCCACCCAAAUUGCCCCCCGCCCACCCGUAUUCUUGGGUCAACCAUGCCAAAAUUAAGUCUUUGUAUUACUUUCCAUGAAUUUUCCUCUUGAGAAGUGAUGCAACUCUUUCCUACAUACUUCUAUCACAAAGAACGAGAAAUUAAAACAAUUCGUUUCUUCUAAAUUAUAUAUCCAAUUACUUGCAAGUGUCUCAUGCUCUUUCGAAAUGGGACUCCAUCCCCAUCUUGGUCCAAGCAUGAUCGGCUUGUUUUUCUUCGUCAUAAAUAUCAUUUUCGUCCGUGUUCCAACUCCUGUGUCCGCCGAUUAUGAGGAGCAUAAAAACUGCAGCGCCCCGUUUCGUUGUGCUAACAGAGACGAUAUUGGUUAUCCUUUCUGGGGAGGAAACCGUUCAGAAUAUUGUGGCUACCCGGGAUUUGAGUUGAAUUGCGAGGAAGAUGUUCCCGAGAUUAACAUCUUAAACAUUACUUACAAAGUCCUGAAAUUCGAUAAAGCAACGCGGAUAAUCACUGUUGCUAGAGAAGAUUACUGGGACAAAUACUGUCCAUCAAACUUGGUCGAUACUGCUCUAGAUUUCUCUCUUUUUGAUUAUGCUCCCGGCACAGACAACUUGACUCUGUACUACAGCUGCCCCGCCAACUUUAUGAAUGGUAUGUCAGUGCUGUCGUUGCUGGGUCCCUAUAAGUUUCGUUGCAACUCAGAUGAAUCAAACGCCGACGAUAACUACUUUUACUCAUGGGAUGUCGAUAGUGUCUUCAAUAAGACCUUCACUGAUGCCGUGAAAGCUUACUUCGGUAGUUGUGCGAAGAGCGUUCUACUGCCUCUGCAGCAACCAACAGUUGAGUCUUUGGUGAAAAAUCCGGCUUCGGAAAAUCUGACUAGAGCUCUUCAGGAAGGUUUUGGGCUGCAAUGGUUUCCAAAUAAUAAUCUCUGCGAAAAGUGUCAACAAUCAAAAGGAGAGUGUGGGUAUUCUGCAAGGACUGGUCAAUUCAAUUGUUAUUGCCCUGAUAAAGCUUAUACCGAUUCCUGUCCACCCCAAGAAGGUACGUCCCUUUUCCUGAUUGUUCUGUUAGCAUCUCAGUAAGGAUUCCGUCCAUUAGGUUCCAGAUUAGUUAGUUUUCGUAAGAGGAUUGGGCUGUUGUUAAGAGUCCACUUAGGGUCGAGUUGGAUGCUCUGUCUCCCCGGAACAGAGACCCGUAAAUUUAGAUGAUCACAAAAACUUGAAUCUUGAAACAGUUCUCUUCAUCCAACAACAAUGACAUGAUAAGAGUCGACGCUUAUAGGGUCGAUUUGCCAUGAAAUCGAAUCAGUAGUCGUCAAUUUAAGCGUCUUGUUGAUACUAAAGAGGUAUACCUCCAGAAGGAAAUAACCAGGUUCUAAGCCAUCAGUUCUCGGAAGAUUGUUUUCUUAUUGUCUAGCAGGCUGGAGUAUUUCUUCUUGAACAGGGACCCAAAAUUUUUCUGAACAGUUACUUUCAACUCGUUUCAGGACUCGGUAUAAUAUUCCUCAAACUGAAAUAGUUUUCUAUAAUUUCCCUCAAACUGAAACAAUUUUCUUCCUUCCAACAUGCACACAAUUAAAUUCAUUUUUCUGUUUGAACAUAUAAUAUUAGAGGGAGCAAACCUAUUGGAUCCAUUGUUCAAAAGUCUUAGCAACCUAAUGUCAUGGAAAGACUUUCCUUUGGUGACAUUCAUACUGUGCAUGCAACAGGUACCAGUCAGGUUUAGUAAAAAAAAAUUUCAUAAACAAACCAGGUCAUGUGGAUAUAUUUCCUGCAAUCACACAUCCUAAAACAUAUUCAACACUUCCUUUCAGUCAAUUUGUUAAUUGAAAUAUGGAAUAUCAAGGGAAUCAUCAAGAUCAUUUGCUUUUGUUUAUAUGCACCAUUAUUUCUCUUUAUUCAUUAGUCAUUAUGAGAUGCUCACAGUUGUUCCUGGUUGCCCAUCAUCUACAUCUUUUUCUGGACACUUCAGAUGCUCUAUAGAUGGUAUCAAUUAUGAGAAUGUCUUCAUAUUAGUAUGAGCUAAUGCUUCAGGAGCAUGUAAUGCUAGUGUGACUUUUACGGUUCCUAAAAGUGUACUUCCUAUAGUAUUAGGGAAUUGCUUGGUCUUGAAACAAGUACUCCAGUUGAAAUGGGAGGUAAGUGGAUGGCAUGCGAUAAGUGCACCCAAGCUGGUUGAAGGUGUCAAACAAUUCGUCACUACAAAGAGGAACUCACUAACUAGCAGAGCUGCACAGGUAAGUUACACAACUAUUCAAGCUUCGAUUGGGGCCCAUUCGCUGACGUCACAUCCCUGACCACCAUUGUUCAGCAGCUCUUUUGAGGCUCCAAGAGCUUUGCAAUUGCCUGAACCUCUGCACUACAGCCUCUUUUUUUUCCCUCUCUUUCCGUUUCCUCUUUGAUUUAACGAGUGGCUCGAGCAUUUUUAACUGAUUGUAAUGUUAACUUCAUAUGUCACCAUCAUGAGAAAGAGUAAAGAUGCCAAAAUUUUUCUGCCAAACCACCGGAGACAAACAUAAAAUUUAGUAUAAGCAGUCAUUUUUUAAAAUGUGUAUUUGUACAGAGUCCUCGAAAAUGUUAGUGAACAUAAGUGAUUAACAGCUGAAUUACAAACAACAAUAUAUUUUGUAAAAUAUGGACGUCCCUAUCUGAUGAGCUACAAAAGUAUGCAAGUCUCUAAUGCCGUUCAAAUUAGAGGGUAAAGAGCUAUAUUCAUCAAGACCAUUUUAUGACAGUUUAUUGACAAUGGAGCUAGAGAAAAGCUGUUGACGCUUUGUUUAUGCUGCAGGAUCAUUCUUUAACAAGAGAAAGAAGACUUCCUUUGGUAAUUUCUACAUCUGAUAGCUUGUUUUCACAUCAGCAGCAGCAUUUUCAACAAUUCUUUCAAGGGAUGAUUGUACAACAGAUCUAUCACUAUUAUUCAGUUCUAUUUUUGAAUGCAGGAAUUGGGGCUGGUGUGGUGGGGAUAAUAGUGAUUCUGGUUAUUCUUCUUUUGGUCGGCCUACGACAUAUUCGGAAGAAGAAAACAGAGAAUGAUCAGAAUGUCUUUGGCUUCGGAAGAUUUCGGAAGAAGAAAACAGAGAAUGAGAAUGCGGAAGCAGCUUUCAUUAGGAAUUACGUAUCUCUUGCACCUAAGAGAUAUAAUUAUUCUGAUGUUAAGAGGAUGACGAACUCAUUCAGUAAUAAACUUGGUCAAGGAGGCUUUGGUAGUGUUUACAAAGGAAAGUUACCUGAUGGUCGUCUUGUGGCGGUGAAGGUCUUAAAGAACUCCAAAGUUAAUGGGGAGGAAUUCAUCAAUGAGGUGGCCAGCAUGAGUAGAACGUCGCAUGUUAACGUUGUUAGCUUUCUGGGAUUUUGUUAUGAGAAGAAGAAAAGAGCUCUAAUCUAUGAAUUCAUGCCUAAUGGCUCUCUGGAUCAGUUUAUAUAUGAUGAAGAAUCUUCAAAUAUAAACCGCAAGUUGGAAUGGAGAACAAUGUGCCAAAUUGCGGUCGGCAUUGCCAGAGGACUGGAGUACUUGCAUCGAGGCUGUAACAUAAGGAUUGUACACUUUGACAUAAAACCUCACAACAUUCUGUUAGGUGAAGACUUCUGUCCGAAAAUAUCUGAUUUUGGGCUGGCUAAGCUAUCCGAAAAGAAAGAGAGUUUCAUAUCAAUGUUGGGUGCAAGAGGAACUAUAGGGUAUAUUGCACCGGAAGUAUUCUGCAGAAACUUUGGAGGAGUUUCUCACAAGUCCGAUGUAUAUAGCUAUGGAAUGAUGAUUCUUGAAAUGGUUGUGGGAAGAAAGAAUGCUGAAGUCAAAGUGUCUCUUAGCAGUGAAAUAUAUUUUCCCAAUUCGAUUUACAAGCAUAUUGAACCAGGGAAUGAAUUUCAACUUGCUGGGGUUGUCACCGAAGAAGAAAAAGAGAUGGCCAAAAAGAUGAUCUUAGUGAGCUUGUGGUGCAUUCAAACUAAUCCAUCUGACAGACCUUCAAUGCACAAGGUUUUGGAGAUGUUGGAAGGUCGCACAGAAGACUUGCAAAUUCCUCCAAAGCCUUCACUGUCUUCGCCAAGAAGAUCAGCCCAACAGUUAUCUCUGGCCAGUUUAUUGGUUGAUUAAUUUCCAAGUUUAUUGUUAAGAAAAAUAGUGAUUUCAUUCAGUUGAGUUUGAACAAAAAUUUGAUUCAAUUAGAACACCGUAAGAUCAAGCUUUAUAAUUCAAGGAUAGAUGCGAGACUUCACUGACCUAAAUGAAAUAAAGAAAUCAGCAAAUCAGAUCAAGAAACAAAGAACCAACACGAGGCAAUUAUGGUGGUUGAAGCAAAAAUGGUGUGCAUCCACUAGUGCUUCUGCAACAACAAGAUACAUAUUUGCAAGAAUGAAGAAUAGAUUGUAUAGAGGAAAUCUUUAACAGAUUUUCCACUCGAUCUCUCUUCAUCAGCGUAAAUCAGAUCAUCGAGGUGAACGGCGCCAAAAAAAAAAAAAGCUGUUUUCACAGCUAAUUGAACAGCCUUGACUUUAAUCGCUUCACGUGACUAGCACGUGUAAAUUACAGCUCAAAACACUGCGUUUCACCUCUGAUUUGGAUAAAUUUGAUGACUAAAAAUCUCAAAUCAACUGUGGUCAACCAACCACUUUAGAAGUGGUAGUAGUAGCUCAAAGGCCAAAAUUGCUAGACAGCAAUGGCAAAUGGAGCCAUAAUUGUCAUGAAAAUUUUGUCAAACAUUUGACAAUAGAUCACUCAGUUUUCACAUAGCAGACUAUUACUUGCACAAAUUCAAAAAUAUGGAAGCACGCGUGCUAAAACUUCAAACAAGUUUUAUUCCUUGAUUUGUUGCCGUCUCUGAAUUUUCUUUCUCUUAUAUUCCUUCUAUUUGUAGUUCUUAUCAAGAUCCGUCCAACCUCAACGAAUUCCGAUAUUGUCCGGAAGUUGUAGUAUUCCGUUCCGUUGUGAGAAGAUCACAACCAGCUAUCCAUUUUCGGGAGGCGAAAGAGAGUAUGCUUGCGGCCAUCCUAGCUUAAACCUCAAUUGUGAGAAUGAUACAGCUGCCCCAGUGAUUGGUGGUUCAAAACCAGUGGCGGGCCUACACGUGGGCUAGCCCAGUUUGGUUAAUAAAAAACCGUUUAUACCUCUUACUGUUUUAUCAAUUUAGUAAAAUAAUAGAAUUUUUAUUUUAUUUUCAUAUAUAUCCCUAAUUCAACUGCCCUUGUGUUUUCAUCAAUUUAGUAUAAUAAUAGAGUUUUUAUUUUAUUUACUAAAUAUGUCUCCAAUUUAAUUAUAUUAUUUUCAAUUGAAAUUAGUGACUUAUUUUAUAAAAUAAUUAAAUUAUAUGUUUAUUGAUUAGAUUGAAAACAUUAGGGAGUUAAAAUUUUAUUACUGCUUUAAUUUAUUUUAAAAAACUUCUAAUUGAAAAAAAAUAUGUCAAUGUAAUAUAACAUCAUCACUAGUAUUAAAAGUACUUACAGAAACAACAUAUAGUAACAAUUAUCAAUAUUUUCAUAAAAAAAAUUAUGUGAAUUUUCAUAUUUUAUUUAUUAGUUAUAUUAACUAAGAGGACAAGUUAGAAAAUAAAAUUUGAGUAUUUUACGGAGCUUUUGAUAAAAGAAUCAUCAAUAUCUAGUUCUUUAAAGAGAGACAGAGGACCUCACGAAGAAACAAUUGCACCCAAAUACCUUUUUGCUGAAUUAAGUUUAGUUUAUUAUUGAAACUUUUGACUAAUAAUACGUUUAUGAUUUGAAAUGAUGAAUAAAUUUUAAUUGUUUAAUAUAUUAAGUCUGGUAAUUUAGUACUUCACUUUAAACAUAAAAGUUUUACUUGUAAUUUUUAAUUGAUUGCAAUUAUAUGUAUUGAUUUAUUUUAAUUUGAAAUUCUUAAUUGAUUUUUUAAUCUUUAUAAAAUUACAUGUUAUUGUAGGUUGUAAUGUCAAAUUCUAUAAUUGAAAAUUAGUGUUUUCAUAUUUGAGUUGCCUUUUAUUUUCUACUUUUUUUUUUAUAAUUAGUCUACAAUACAUAUUUAGAGGGAUAAGGUUCUUGAUGUUUCUCCUAUGUACUUCUUUUUACUUAUAAAUUUUUAUGAUUGUUUUAAAAUAUAAAUUUUAAAAUUUAGUUUGGGGUAAUAUUCAAUCCUGCGUGCCCCUGUUCAAAACACCGUGUUUUAAAUGUCAAUCACAAAGAACAACUUCUCAGGAUCUCGAGGCAGGUCUACUUUGAAGAAUUCUGCCCCCAAAGGAACUUCACCAUCGAUUCAACACUCUUUGAUUAUGCUACCGGGUGUGAGAUGCUUACUUUGGCUUCUGGUUCCCAACAAUGUCCGGAAACUCCAUUUGAUAUAUUGACGGAUUCAACUACACCAACGGCUUACAGCAAACAGGAUCUCCGGAUUGUAAUUUUAGUGUCAUUGUUCCGGUUUCGGAAACGUUACUCUCAGCAGCAAAUAGUAGGCGGGUUUGAAAGAAGCGUUACAAACAGGAUUUGAACUGAAAUGGAAGUUGAGUUUGUGUGAGAACCGUAGCAGUUUUAGUUAUCACAUCUUUUCAAAUGAAGGAAUUUGCCACUGCCCUGGCAACUCAAAAGCAUGUUCAAUUUUACCAGCGUCACCGAAACCAAAAGGUAAGCGCCUCAGGUUUUCUUAACUUAUUACUAUACCAUACAUGCCUAGGCUGAAAAAAUAUUUCAGUCAAAAUAAAGGCACUAAUUGAAAUUUUGCCACGCCCAUAUAAAUUUUACUUUUGCCUGCUUAAUUUUAUAUAACGCUGUUGUGGCGUGAUAUAUGCCAUACUUUUGGCUUCCUAGAUUUUAGAAAUAAUAUGUUAUACCCUACUUUAAUUUAUGUUAUCUCUAUUAUGGUCCCCAUCAAACCAAAACUGUGUCCUCCACGAAUACGAUUUUUUUUUUUUGAGUCUUUUAAUACGACCCUCAAAGAAUUUACUAAUUGAACUAACCAACACCACCUACUUUAUAAUAUUUAUUAAUCUUUUAUUAUAUCUCGAAUGAGCCCAUAUUUCAUUUCAGUUCUCAAGAACCUUAUAGCACAAAAAAUGCAUACUAAUAUAAUGUGAGACUGAAAUUAAUUCCGUUUACCAUUCUUCUUUCAUCAACUGUCACGUAAGAUGUUUAGUCAAAGCUGAGUUAAGGAGAAAUCUCACGUAAGAUGUCCUAUUUGAUGUGUUGGAUAUUAAAGAGAUAAAAGAGGAGGGUCUAGCUCAAGAAAGAUUGGAGGACAAAGUUUGAUUAGAGACAUUGGUGGCAAGUUAGAGAUCUCGAUGUAAGGCUAAGUUCUCAAUAGGCUAGUAGAGUUGGUUUGGCUUUGUCGAUUGCAUAGGUGAGCUCUAUCUGCUGUGUCUAUAGCCUCGUUAGACAAGUAUAAUCUAGAAGACUAGAACUCAAUAAUAAAAUAUUAAAAUAAUCAUACAUAAAUGUAAAAAACAUAGAAUUGCACCUAUAACCACGAGAGAAAAUUCAUCACCCAAUCUUAUGUAGCAUGAGGUUCUUUAUAGUAUCAAUGAUAAGCAAUUCCCAAUUGGAUGGUAGAUUUGAGGAUAAAGAUUAGGGAAAUCGGAAAUAUGUGAUUGGAAGUGGGGAGUGGAAAGAGAGGUUUCUUCAUGACUGAGAGUGGCAAGGUACAAAUUUCUUCAUGACUGAGAGUGGCAAGGUACAAAAUAGUGAAGAGAAACUUAGAGAUGGAUAUUGGGAAGAGAAUAAGCCUGAGAGAUCUGCAAAAAUGUCCUUCAUUAUCAACUGUAUACAUCAAAAAGACUUUGUUUUCAGUCUUUCACAACGAUAGCACAUAACAGACUAUGCCUUGCAAGCUGCAACCCAAAUCAAACGGUGAGUAGAAACAAAUAUGCAUGCGCGGUCAACAAAAAGAAGUGUUGAGGUCAACUACAUUCAUACUGGUCUUUCUUUAGCUUUCUUCGAAUUUUCUUCCUGAGAUGCAAUAAUCUAAGUUAAGUCCUGAUUGGUUUUCCUCGGAAUCUACUUUCACCGAAAAAGAGUUUCCAGCUUUUCCCUCCACCAUCCAAUUUUGUUUAUCUUCUCAGUUUUUUGCAAGACUAAGCCGAUUUUAGCCUAUUUUGAGUGUUCGCCACGUUGCACUGCUCCGUACCACUGUCGAGAUUUAACAGUCAGCUAUCCUUUACGGAGAGGUGACCGAUUGCAGUUUUUGCGGCCACCCUGACUUAAAGCUCAGUUCCCAGUAUUUUGCAAAACAACCAUGAUGAUUCAUGAUGUUAAAAACCGUAUCCUCCAUGUCUAUAAAAUUACUAGCAAAACCAAAACAAUUAUGACGCUUUUGUUUGUGCCGCAGGAUCGUCUUUCAACAAGAGGAGAAAAAUUUACCUAGGGAAUAUGCAUCAUUAGAUAACUAGUUUAUUUCUUUAUUUGCAUCAACAAUUUAUAAACAAUCUCAGCACCGAUAGUUGUUAGGAGAGUAAAUUUCUAGUCAUUCAUCGUUAAAUACAAUGUGCUGCUCCUAUCCUUGAAUACGGGAAUUGCAGCUUGCGGGACAUUCAGACUAAUCCAUCUGAUAGACCUUCAAUGCACAAGGUUCUGGAGGUGUUCGAAGGUAGCAUAGAAAACUUGAAAAUUCUUCGCCAAGAAGAUCAGCCCAACAGUCUUCUUCUGCAUCAUAGUCAACAGAGCUUGCAUCGCAGGAGUCCUCCUUGUCUUAGUGAGUGAUGAGAAUUGCAAUGCUUUCAACGUGUAUACUAAUCUGUCCCAUCGACGAACCAUGGCUUCCUUUAGACUUUAAACUGUAACAGAGAAGUAAAAUUUGUUGCUUGAUAACUUUUUUAAAUUUUGUGUUCACAUAUCUUUACUCAUUGAGGAAAGUAAAAUGUCUGUUCUAGCAGUUUUCUUUUGACAAAAUUUAGGAAACACCGACCACUACUCGUGAUUAAGUCUUCGAAGCCUUUAUGGUCAUACUAAACAAUUGCAUUUUCAUUUUCUCGAUACCAUUCGAGUACCUCUAUCGCUCUCUCUCUCAAAAUGGAUCUCCGUUUCAGCUCAAGGCUGUGCUUAUUCUUUUUCGUGAUAACCAUCCACUUGGUCCGUUUUCCAACUCAUGUGUCAGCCAAGGAUGUCCAAAAUCUAAACUGCAGUGCCCCGUUUCAUUGUGCAAACUUACGGAACAUUGGCUAUCCUUUUUGGGGCUCAAACCGUCCAGAACAUUGUGGCUAUCCAGGUUUUGAGUUGGAUUGCGCAGGUGAUGUUCCAGAGAUUACCAUCAUGGACAGGGCUUACAAAGUUCUGCACAUCAAUAACGAGUCGCGGAGAAUCAAUGUUGCUAGACAAGACUACUGGGAUUAUAAUUGUCCCGCAAAUCUCAGCAACAGUUCGCUCAAUUUCAGCAUUUUCAAUUAUGCUUCGGACACACGAAACUUGACUCUAUAUUAUAGCUGCCCUGCCAGCUUUAUGAACAAUAUUUCAGGGAUACUGCUUCCCAAUCGAUUUAACUGCAGCAUAGAUGGAAAAAACUCCAACAAUUACUAUUUCUCUUGGGAUAGCAAUAGCUUCAAUAGUAGCAUCAGUUCAGCCAUUGGAGCUUACUUUAGAAGUUGUGCGAAUAGUGUCGUGAUUCCUGUGUGGCAAUCAACACUUCGGUAUAUGGUGAACAAUCUAAAUUCAGUAAAUCUGACAUGUGCUCUUCGUGUAGGUUUUGGACUGCAAUGGCAUGCGAAUAAUCGCUUGUGUGAAGAAUGUGAACAAUCAAAUGGAAACUGUGGUUACAUUGCUAAGACUGGUGAAUUCAUUUGUUAUUGCCCUAACGGAGCUUAUUCGUCAUCUUGUCACUCCCGAACAGGUAUGUCUUAUUGCAUAGGAAUAAGUAAGUUAUUGGUUUCAGGUAGUUUCUUUGUUGCUGUUGUUAGUUUAGCUCACGAAAUCAGAACCCUCUGCAACAAGCUAUUCUACUGUACAGUGAAAACAGAUAGUUGGCAGACAAUCAUUUCGAACCAAAAUCAAAACAUACAUGAGAACAGGGAAGCAUGUGUCGCAUUGUCUUUAAGUCAACUACAACAGGCUACAGCAAUUUUUUUAAUCAUUUCCUUGCUUUUCUUCAGUCUUUGCAAUCACAUUCACGUGUUAAGCGGUUUUUUCUAAAGUAGGCUACAAAGUUCCUUCGUUCAUAAUCCCUUUUUUCCAUGUCAGUGGAAAUGAGUCUCCAGCUCAUCUUGUAGUCACAAUUUUUUUUUUUUUUUUUUAUCUUCUACGUUUAAUGUUCAUAUUUUUCUCGAGGUUCAGCCUAUCUUUUCUUUCUCUUCAUUCAUAAUUCAUUGCAAGAUGCUAAGAAUUCUUUAUGGCUUGCCAGCGCCUGCAUCUUUUACAGAGCACUUCACUUGCUAACACUUCACUUGCUGUUAAAAAUGAUACAAUUACAAGAAAGAAUUAACUGCAUUUGUUUCCAGCAUGACAAGAGUCAAGAUGACACAGGUUUCUGACAAAAGAUAGCCAAGCAACACACAAAAUUAUGUAUGAACAGUCAUUUAACUACCGUACACAAAUCUGUCUUUUGCAAAAUACGGAUGUUUCCACCUGAAAAAUUAUAGAAGUACACAACUAAAAUGCAAGUUUAAUGCAGUUUUCAUUCGAGUUUAAAUUUUAGAUUCAUCAAAUUUAUCCCAUGACAGUCCAGAGAUCCAUACAAGCUGUUGACACUUUCUUUGUGGCUUUGCGAUGCAGGAUCAUUCUUGAACAAGAAAAGGAAGAUUUAUGUAGGUAAUUAAUUUCUACAUCUGACAGCUAUUUUUGCUUUGUUUUGGCAUUAGCAUUUUCAACAAUUGCUUUUCAAGGAUGAAUAAAGGAUAGAUGUAUCUUUGAAUGCAGGAAUUGCUGCUAGUGUGCUCGGUACAAUGGUGAUUCUUGGUAUUCUUCUCAUAGUAAUCCAGGCACUAAUUAAAAAGAAGACAAGAGAGGAUGAUCGAAACGUGGAAGCUUUUAUUAGGAACCACGAAUCUCUUGCUCCAAAACGAUACAGUUAUUCUGAUGUUAAGAGGAUGACAAAAUCAUUCAGAGACAAACUCGGUCAGGGAGGCUAUGGAGAAGUUUACAAAGGAGAACUACCUGAUGGUCAACUUGUAGCAGUAAAGGUCUUGAAGAACUCCAGAUGUAAUGGGGAGGAAUUCAUCAAUGAGGUGGCCAGCAUUAGUAGAACACCCCAUGUUAAUAUUGUGACAUUUCUGGGGUUUUGUUAUGAGAAUAAGAAAAAUGCUCUAAUCUACGAAUUGAUGCCUAAUGGAUCUCUUGAUAAGUUUAUACAUAAUGAUCGGAAUAUCAAGCUGGAAUGGAAAACAAUGUAUCAAAUUGCCAUCGGCAUUGCUAGAGGAUUAGAGUAUUUACAUCGAGGUUGUCAGGUAAGGAUUGUGCAUUUUGACAUUAAACCUCAAAACAUUCUUUUAGAUGAAGACUUCUGCCCGAAAAUAUCUGAUUUUGGGCUUGCCAAACAAGCCCAAAAGAAAGAGAGUGCCAUAUCAAUGCUGCAUGCAAGAGGCACCAUAGGAUAUAUUGCACCAGAAGUAUACAGCAGAAGAUUUGGAGGAGUUUCUCACAAGUCCGAUGUCUAUAGUUAUGGCAUGAUGAUUAUUGAAAUGGUUGGGUGCACAAAGAAUCUUGAUGAUGAAGUGACUGAUACCAGUAUAUGUCACAAUUUGAUAUAUGAGCGCAUUGAACCUGGCAAUGACUUUCAAUUUGAUGGGUUUGCCACUGAAGAAGAGAAAAAGAUGGCAAAGAAGAUGAUCUUGGUGGGUUUUUGGUGCAUUCAAACCAAUCCAUCUGAGAGACCUUCAAUGCACAAGGUUCUGGAGAUGUUGGAAGGUAGCAUAGAAAACUUACAAAUCCCACCAAAACCUUCUUUGUUUUCAGCCACUUAGUGUUCACCAACAUCGUUGCCAAUGGAGCUUGUUUCGCAGGAGGAAUUCAGCAUCGAGUAAGAGAUCUGUGAAAUUUGAAAUGUCAUUAACCUGUAACUGUAACAGGUACAAAAUUAGUUGGCUGUUGGCUGAUGAUGAUUAAUUAUGCGAAAUGAGUGCUAAUUAAGUUUUAAAGUACAUUGUUUCCCUCCGGAUUGUGUAUCAUCAUGAACACAAAUCAAUUAAUGUGGCGCUUUGCAUAAAAGUGCAUAAUUAUAUGUGAAUAGAACAAAAUCUCGCCUCAUGUUGAUGUAACCAAGAAAAAUUUCUGCACCAUCAUUAAUUUCACGAAGGAAAUGCCAAAUCUCAAAGAGAAAGAGCACUAUAACAUAUGUGGUUUUGGCUUAUCUCAUAGAAGGGCAAAAUAUUUUUUUAGGUAAAAUAUUUCAGUAAAGAUAAGGGAUUUUAUUAAAAUUUACCUAUUUGUGUAAAAUUUUCAUUUACCCCCUAAAAAUUACCCUUUUUUGUUAUGACCCCUCAAGUUUAUUUUUUCUCAAUUACGACCAAUAUCAUGAUUCCAGAUGUGAAGAAGACGAUUUUAGUAACAAAUGAGAGUGUAUAAAUGUUGGGGAACAAGAAUCACAACCGAAAACUUGAAUACAUCAUUUGCCUUACCUAGAGAAACUGUCAUACCUCGCUUUUAAAGCUUCCCUUAGAAUUCUUUCAACUCAAGUAAUUUAAGUGAUGUUUUGAAAUAGCCAUACUAAAGGGAAGUACCAAGUAUUUACCCGAAAACUUGUAGUUUCUUUCUAGAACUCCUCUUGCUUGGACGAUAUUUUGAAACUAAUUAUUUUACCAUUUUCACUAGAAAAAGCUAUUCAACGAGGUAUGGUUUCUCUUGACAUUGGAAGUAGUCGGAAGCUAAAGAGUCAAAAAAGCAACCGGCGACACUUGUCUAGCUGUUAAUGAUAGAGUGAGUCAAUAGUUAUUUUGGUUCACCGACCCUACCAGGCUACUAUCUCUCCCCUUGAUUUUUAACAUCCAUCAAAUAAAAAAUUCGUCAAACAAAACGGUCUAUGGAUCAUUUACUUUCAACAUCGUAGACUAUAACUUGCAAUCAUAGUCAAACGAAUGUUGAAAAACAUGGAAGCGUGCGAAAGCUUAAAACAAAGUCUUGAUGUCAACUACAUCAAUAUUUUCGUUCUCUUCUACUGCUUUCCUUGCAUUUUUCUUCCUGAGAAGUGAUGAAACUCUCUCCGUCUUUCCCAUACACACCCGCCAAUCUAUAUUAUCUACUUAAUUUCACCAGAAAUGGGUUCCAGCUUUUGCUGCCGUCUCCUAAUCUUCUUUCUCUUCUAUGCUUUCUAUAUGUAAUUGUUGUCGAGAUUCAUCCAUCUUUAACAGAUUCGGAUAGUCUCCGAAGAAGUUGUAGUCUUCCAUUCCGUUGUGGGAAGAUCACAGCCAGUUAUCCAUUUUCGGGAGGCGAAAGAGAGUAUACUUGCGGCAAUCCUAGCUUAAAUCUUAAUUGUGAGAAUGAUACAGCUACCCUUGUGCUUGGUGAAGUAAAGUACCGGGUUUUAAAUAUCGAUCAGAAAGAACAACUCCUCAGGAUUGCAAAACAAGUGUACUUUGAUGGAUUCUGCCCACAGCGUAACUUCACCAUCGAUUCAACACUUUUUACUUAUGCUGAUGGGUAUAAGAUGCUUACUUUGAUUUCUGGUUGCCCAACAAUGUCCGGAAACUCCGUUUGCUAUAUUAAUGGGCUCAACUAUGCCAAUGGCUUCAUGCAAACAGGAUCUCCGGAUUGUAAUUUUAGUGUUACCAUUCCGGUUGCGGAAACUUUACUCUCAGCAGCAAAAGGUAGCCUGGCAGGUUUGAAAGAGGCGUUGGAAACAGGAUUUGAGCUGAAAUGGAAGUUGAAUUCAUCGUGUAAGAACUGCAGCAGUUGUAGUUAUCAUGUCCUUUCAAACAAAGGAAUUUGCCUGUGCCCAGAUGGACAACUUGACAACUUACCAGGAUGUUCAACUUCACUAGCCCCACAAAGAGCAAGAGGUAUGGGCCUGUGGUUUUAGGGCAGUUCUUACCUUCUUAUUAUAUUAUCGAAAAUUAUUAUUGCACCACUUUUAUUGUCUUAUGUUCAUCCAAUCACUAUAAAAUUCUAAUAUGUAUUUUGCACCACCUUUCUUUUCACAUUUGUAUCAACUAGCCAUUUUUGCAUUAACACUAUUAAAUAAUUUUAAUAAAAUGAUAAUUUUACCCCCAAAUAAAUUAAAAAAUUAUUUUAUUUUAUAAAAAUUUAAAAAAAUAUAAAAUGAUAAAAAUAUCCAUAAAUUUAAUAAAAAUAAAUCCCAAAAUUAGAAUUUUUAUUUUUAAUAAAAAUCAUUUUAAUAUAAAAUUAUAAUUAUAAAAAUAAUUGUAAAAUUUUGGGAUUUAAUAAAAAUCCCCUAAAUUAUUAAAAUUUUAGGAUUUAUUCUUUUAAGAAAUAAAUUCAGUUAUUUUAAUAAAAUUUUACAAAAUUAUAAUUUUUUAAUAAAUAAAUUCAUUUAUUUUUAUUAAAAUUUUGUGAAAUUAUAAUUUUUAAUAAAAAUCAGUUGAGCACAUCUAUUUGGGAUUUAUUUUUUAUUAAAUUUAAGAAUAUUUUUAUGAUUAUAAUUUUUAAUUUUAAAAGUUUUUAUAAGAUAAAAUAGUCUUUCACUUUAUUUGAAGGUAAAAUUGUCAUUUUAUUAAAAUUAUUUAAUAGUGUUAAUACAAAAGUGACUAAUUGAUACAAAUGUGAAAAAAAAAAUGAUACAAAAUACAUGUUAAAAUUUUAUAGUGAUUGAAUGAACAUAAGGCAAAAUAAAUAUUGUGCAAUGAUAAUUUCCCUUAUAUUAUAUCACUAUCAUUAAAGGGGGGCAAAUUUAGGAUCAAAUUGAUCGAUAUUAGACUUUUAAAAUUCAGAGUAGGUCUACUUCAAGACUUAUUAUUUGCCACUCAAAAGACUUUUUGACUUUUGACUUUUGACUUUUUGGUUUUGCUGCAGGAUUAUCUUCCAACAAGAGAAGGAACAUAUACAUAGGUAAUACGCAUCAUCCACCUUGUUUAUUUCUCUAGCUGCAGCAACAAUUUAUCAUUCAUUCUCAAGCACACUGGAUUGCUCCUAUGUUUGAAUAACAGGAAUUGCAGCUAGUGUAGUGGGGACAACAUUGACUUUUGCUAUUAUUCUCACUACUUCCGUACGACGAUACUGGAAGAAGGAAACAAGGCAUGAUCAAAAUGCAGAGGCAGCUUUUGUUAGGAAUUACGGAUCUCUUGCUCCUAAAAGAUUUAGCUAUUCUGAUGUUAGAAGGAUGACAAAAUCAUUCAGUGAUAAACUUGGUCAAGGAGGCUACGCUGAUGUUUACAAAGGAACAUUACCUGAUGGCCGUCUUGUUGCAGUGAAGGUCAUGAAGAACUUGAAGGAUAAUGGAGAGGAAUUCAUCAAUGAGGUGGCCAGCAUUAGCAGAACAUCGCAUGUCAAUAUUGUUCCAUUUCUAGGCUUUUGUUACGAGAAGAAGAAAAGAG